rnacentral:lncRNA from 1 species
GCACGAUCUCAGCUCACUGCAACCUCCACCUCCCGGGUUUCAAGCGAUUCUCCUGCCUCAGCCUCUCGAGUAGCUGGGAUUACAGUCGCGUGCCAGCAUGCCUGGCUAAUUUUUGUAUUUCUAGUAGAGUCAGGAUUUCACCAUGUUGGCCAGGCUAAUCUCGAACUCCUGACCUCAGGUGAUCUGCCCCUUUCGGCCUCUCAAAGUGCUGGGAUUACAGGCAUGAGCCACCAUGCCCAGCCACCUCCACAGUUCUCUUUGGGUGUGUGUGUGGCAGAAACACUUAAGAUGUACUCUGUUAACAAAUUUCAAGUAUGCGAUACAGUAUUGUUAACUGUAGUCACCAUGCUGUACAGUAGACUCCCAGAACUGAUUGUUGGUUGGUUGGUUGUUGAGACAGGGUCUUGCUCUGCUACCCAGGCUGGAGUGCAGUGGCACUGCAGCUCACUGCAGCUCACUGCAGCCUCAAUCUCCUGGGCUCAAGUGAUCCUCCCACUAAAGCCUCCUAAGUAGCUAGAACCACAGGCACAUGCCAUCACACCCAGGUAAUUAUUUAUUUAUUUAUUUAUUUUGUAGAAACGGGAUCUCACGGCAGGGUGCGGUGCCUCACGCCUGUAAUCAUGCCAUCACUACUAAAAAUACAAAAAUUAGCAGGGCCUGGUAGUGGGUGCCUAUAAUCCCAGCUACUAGGGAGGCUGAGGCAGGAGAAAUACUUAAACCCGGGGGGCCGAGGCUGCAGUGAGCUGAGAUCGCGCCAUUGCACUCCAGCCUGGACGCCAAAAGCAAAACUCUGUCUCAAAAAAAGAAAAGAAAAGAAAGAAACGAGAUCUCACUAUGUUGCCCAGGCUGGUCUCAAAGUCCUGGCCUCAAGCAGUCCUCCCGCCUCAGCCUCCAAAAGUGCUAAGAUUACAGGUGUGAGCCACCAUGCCGGGCUGACCCCAUCUUGUAAAUGCAAGUUUCUACCCUUUGACCGACAUCUGUCUGUUUUUCUCCCCUCCUAGCCCCCAGCAACCACGGUUCUAAUUCUACUUUGUUUCCAUGAGUUUUGUGGCAGGAGAAUAGGGGAUUAGAGGAACAGGGGUUCAGCAGGUGCAGCCAGUUCCUACAGGCAGGAGAGCAGCAGGUGUGGCUUACAGGUCACGUCUUCCCUGGUGAUAACAAGCCACAUCAGCCUCUGAUUGACUGCGGGCCGGGUCUCCACUACGGCCACUGAUUGGUCCUGAGCCAAUCCUUCAUAGCAUCUAACCAAUUGGAAGCCUCUGAAGGGCGUCUAGGGGUGUUGCCGGGUUCCUUCUAGCUUAUUACAAACCUUAAUUGGGGAGGCUCUUGAGCUGCUGGCUCGAUCCCGCUCCCACUCUGAAUUGUCUUCAAUAAAUCUGUGCUUUUCUAUUCACAAUAGCAAAGACCUGGAAUCAACCCAAAUGCCCAUCAAUGAUAGACUGGAUAAAGAAAAUGUGGUGGGCUGGGUGCAGUGGCUCACGCCUGUAAUCCCAGAACUUUGGGAGGCCGAGGCAGGUGGAUCACGAGGUCAAGAGAUGGAGAUUAUCCUGGCCAACAUGGUGAGACCCCGUCUCUACUAAAAAUACAAAAAAGCAGGGUGUGGUGGCGGGUGCCUGUAGUCCCAGCUACUCGGGAGGCUGAGGCAGG